CCAUGGCAAAUACUCUCAAUGAUCAUUGACAGUAUUUGCUCAUAGCUUACCGAGACCAAGCGCUUACAAAGGUCUAUGUCUAUGGUUUAUCUCAAAGUUUUGCGAGGUUUAUAUAAUAAUAUGGCAAGGGUUUUAUAUUAUUUUUUCUUUAUUUUAUGGUUGUGCUACCUAAUAGUGUCUUCAAUAUUUUUAUUUACACAAGGCUUUUUGCUGACUAGAGUUGUGCAGAAUAAUAAUGCCUCAUGUUUACCCCUUAACGACGUGAUAUGCACACCAAUACUAAAUUUCAACAUAAAAAAUGACAGUGAGGAAUCCUGUUCUCAAGGUGAUAAGAUUUCCACCGUUUUGAAGAACUAUGAGACGACUACUACUACGAUAUGUUUACCUGCAAGGGCAAAAGUUGUAUUACUUAUUGUAGAUGCAUUGCGAUACGAUUUUACUAUUUUUAAUGAAAAAAAUAAAUAUCCUUUGCCAUUUCAAAACAAACUACCUGUUAUUGACAAACUGUGCAAGAAAUAUCCAGAUUAUACACGGCUGUAUAAGUUUAUAGCAGAUCCACCAACUACAACAAUGCAAAGGAUAAAGGGGCUCACUACAGGCAGUUUUCCAACUUUCAUAGAUGCAGGUUCAAACUUUGCAACAAUGGAAAUUAGUGAAGAUAAUAUUAUAGAUCAGAAAAUGUGUGCCAAAGGAUUUUUCGAUAUUCGAAGUGGUUAACAAAUUAUGGCCCUGGAAUGGAGAAGGUAUACGGAGCGCGCACAAUGCUGCUCCGCAAAGCCGAGCGGCACUGACCAUUAUAUUGAUAUCCCUAAAUCUAACUGAAUCGCGAAAAGGGAAGACGGAGCAGCGCUGCGUGACUUCCAAGAAGAAGAGGAAGGCCUACUGUAUGGUCCAGGCAUAGCAGAUUGACGAUAACCAAAACAGCCGCAAUCUUGGUCACCGUCAAGCACCUCCUUCACUUGAUGUCUUCCUAUCGGCCACUAUAACUUUGAUUCUAUUAUAUAUUUUGUCUUCAAAAAAUUUGUAAAGCUCAUUUAAAUGUUAAUAAAGAUAAUGUAAAAACAAUGAGAUUUAUUAUUUCGAUGGUUUGCCCGUAAAAAAUUUUUGAAAAAGCCGUA